rnacentral:rRNA from 1 species
AGAGAGAGACAUGCGCGCAUAUCAAUAAGCGGAGGAAAAGAAACUAACUAGGAUUCCCUCAGUAACGGCGAGUGAAGCGGGAAGAGCUCAAAUUUGAAAUCUUAAAGGGUUUCCCUUGACGAAUUGUAGUUUAAAGAAGUGUUUUCUGUUGGAGGUUUUGGUAAAAGUUCUUUGGAAUAGGACAUCAUAGAGGGUGAGAAUCCCGUAUUUGACCAUUAUUUCCAGCUUUGUGAUACACUUUCAAAGAGUCGGAUUGUUUGGGAAUGCAGUCCAAAAUGGGUGGUAGAUUUCAUCUAAAGCUAAAUACUGGCGAGAGACCGAUAGCGAACAAGUACCGUGAGGGAAAGAUGAAAAGAACUUUGAAAAGAGAGUUAAACAGUACGUGAAAUUGUCAAAAGGGAAGCGUUUGACACCAGUGUUGUUUUCUCGAAAAUCAAUUAAAAAAGGCAGGAUUUUGUGUUGUAUUGACUUUAUCAGCUUUCUGCACUCUUUUCUUGUCUUUUUUAAUGCACUUUUCGUUUAACAAGUCAACAUCAAUUUCUUUUGUUGUAAAAGGGUCAUUGGAAGGUGGCUUUCUUUUCGGAGAAAGUGUUUAUAGCCUCUUGGCCUAUGCAAUCGGAGAGAUUGAGGUCUGCAGCGUAGAUCCUUCGGGGUUAGAUACAUUUGUGCUAAGUUAUAGCCUUUCAUAGACAACUUGUUGACUAUGAUCAGUCAUGUAGCUUACUCGCUUAUGCUAUUUUACCUACGCUUAGGAUGUUGAUGUGAUACUGCGAGCA